AUUGAACGCUGGCGGCAGGCCUAACACAUGCAAGUCGAGCGAGCGGCGGACGUGUGAGUAAUGUAUGUGCAUCUGCCUGAUGGAGGGGGUUCACUACUGGACACUGUUGCUACUACCGCCUACCAUCGGCUGGGCCCAGUUGGGAUUAUCUUGGUGGUGGGGGAAAGGAACACGAAGGCGACGAACCCUAACUGGUCUGAGAGGAUGACCAGCCAAACGGGAACGGAGACACGGUCCAGACUCCUACGGGAGGCAGCAGUGGGGAAUAUUGCACAAUGGGCGAAAGCCUGAUGCAGCCAUGCCGCGUGUGUGAAGAAGGCCUUCGGGUUGUAAAGUACUUUCAGUGGGGAGGCGUUACCAGCAGAAGAAGCACCGGCUAACUCCGUGCCAGCAGCCGCGGUAAUAC
rnacentral:rRNA from 1 species